rnacentral:lncRNA from 1 species
AGAAAGGUGGCGUCUAGCCCGCUUUGUUCAGUUAGGAUCGCCUUGAUCCAGGGGCCGCUGGGCCACGCCAAGGACCUGCGGGGGACUGAAGGCGGGGCCCAUGCAACCUUCGCCAGACCCAAGCACCUCACUGUUUCCCCCUCCAGUGUCUCCCUGUGUUCCCCCUCGAACACCCGAGAGGGGGAGGGGGUAAGGAGCGCACCAAAGCGCAGAGCUUGCUGCCCGCCGCACGCACGCGCGCUUGCGUGCGGUGAUGCGCGCGAGUGUGUGCGUGCUCGCCUGUGUGUAGUGUGCGUGUGUAUGUGUGUGAGUGUGUUGUGUGCGCGCGCACACGUGUGUGUGAGACUCUUGAGCUGAACUGGGCUGUGUCUACUCCUAAACUCUUCUUCACAGAA